rnacentral:rRNA from 1 species
AGAACGAACGCUGGCGGCAGGCUUAACACAUGCAAGUCGAACGGUUGUAGCAAUACAGCAGUGGCAGACGGGUGAGUAACACGUGGGAACCUUCCUAGGGGUACGGAACAACUCAGGGAAACUUGAGCUAAUACCGUAUACGUCCGUAAGGAGAAAGAUUCAUCGCCCCUAGACGGGCCCGCGUAGGAUUAGGUAGUUGGUGAGGUAACGGCUCACCAAGCCUACGAUCCUUAGCUGAUCUGAGAGGAUGAUCAGCCACACUGGGACUGAGACACGGCCCAGACUCCUACGGGAGGCAGCAGUGGGGAAUCUUGGACAAUGGGCGCAAGCCUGAUCCAGCCAUGCCGCGUGAGUGAAGAAGGCCUUCGGGUUGUAAAGCUCUUUUACCAGGACGAUAAUGACGGUACCUGGAGAAAUAAGCCCCGGCGAAACUUCCGUGCCAGCCAGCCGC